rnacentral:rRNA from 1 species
GACGAACGCUGGCGGCGUGCUUAACACAUGCAAGUCGAACGAAGUGGCGAACGGGUGAGUAACACGUGAGUAACCUGCCCUUGACUCUGGGAUAAGCACUGGAAACGGUGUCUAAUACCGGAUAGUCAAGGAUGGACUCGCGGCCUAUCAGCUAGUUGGUGAGGUAAUGGCCCACCAAGGCGACGACGGGUAGCCGGCCUGAGAGGGUGACCGGCCACACUGGGACUGAGACACGGCCCAGACUCCUACGGGAGGCAGCAGUGGGGAAUAUUGCACAAUGGGCGCAAGCCUGAUGCAGCAACGCCGCGUGAGGGACGACGGCCUUCGGGUUGUAAACCUCUUUUAGUAGGGAAGCGGUACCUGCAGAAAAAGCACCGGCUAACUACGUGCCAGCAGCCGCGGUAAUACGUAGGGUGCAAGCGUUAUCCGGAAUUAUUGGGCGUAAAGAGCUCGUAGGCGGUUUGUCGCGUCUGCUGUGAAAACUGGGGGCUCAACCCCCAGCCUGCAGUGGGUACGGGCAGACUAGAGUGCGGUAGGGGAGAUUGGAAUUCCUGGUGUAGCGGUGGAAUGCGCAGAUAUCAGGAGGAACACCAAUGGCGAAGGCAGAUCUCUGGGCCGUAACUGACGCUGAGGAGCGAAAGCAUGGGGAGCGAACAGGAUUAGAUACCCUGGUAGUCCAUGCCGUAAACGUUGGGAACUAGAUGUAGGGCUGUGUCGCAGCUAACGCAUUAAGUUCCCCGCCUGGGGAGUACGGCCGCAAGGCUAAAACUCAAAGGAAUUGACGGGGGCCCGCACAAGCGGCGGAGCAUGCGGAUUAAUUCGAUGCAACGCGAAGAACCUUACCAAGGCUUGACAUACAGGUGGUGCAUGGUUGUCGUCAGCUCGUGUCGUGAGAUGUUGGGUUAAGUCCCGCAACGAGCGCAACCCUCGUUCUAUGUUGCAACUCAUAGGAGACUGCCGGGGUCAACUCGGAGGAAGGUGGGGAUGACGUCAAAUCAUCAUGCCCCUUAUGUCUUGGGCUUCACGCAUGCUACAAUGGCCGGUACAAAGGGCUGCAAUACCGCAAGGUGGAGCGAAUCCCAAAAAGCCGGUCUCAGUUCGGAUUGGGGUCUGCAACUCGACCCCAUGAAGUCGGAGUCGCUAGUAAUCGCAGAUCAGCACGCUGCGGUGAAUACGUUCCCGGGCCUUGUACACACCGCCCGUC